rnacentral:rRNA from 1 species
GACGGAGGGUGCAAGCGUUGUUCGGAUUGACUGGGCGUAAAGGGCGCGUAGGCGGCCUUCUAAGUCAGACGUGAAAUCCCCCGGCUUAACCUGGGAACUGCGUCUGAUACUGGGAGGCUAGAGUAUGGGAGAGGGAUGUAGAAUUCCAGGUGUAGCGGUGAAAUGCGUAGAUAUCUGGAGGAAUACCGGUGGCGAAGGCGGCAUCCUGGACCAUUACUGACGCUGAGGCGCGAAAGCUAGGGGAGCAAACGGG